CUAUUCUUAUCAGUUUAAUAUCUGAUGUGUCCUCUAUUCGAAGACAAUAUAUUAAGCAAAUUUUUGGAGCAGGGAGCUUGUUCUCUCCACUCCGUCCAUUGACUUGGUAUUGCAGUACCUCCAGGAAUGAUGC
ensembl:snRNA U2 U2 spliceosomal RNA